CAGCAGCCGCGGUAAUACAGAGGGUGCAAGCGUUAUCCGGAAUGAUUGGGCGUAAAGCGUCUGUAGGUGGCUUUUCAAGUCCGCCGUCAAAUCCCAGGGCUCAACCCUGGACAGGCGGUGGAAACUACCAAGCUGGAGUACGGCAGGGGCAGAGGGAAUUUCCGGUGGAGCGGUGAAAUGUGUUGAGAUCGGAAAGAACACCAACGGCGAAAGCACUCCGCUGGGCCGACACUGACACUGAGAGACGAAAGCUAGGGGAGCAAAUGGGAUUAGAUACCCGCGUAGUCCCUGUCUCUUAUAA
rnacentral:rRNA from 1 species